rnacentral:rRNA from 1 species
UACGGAGGGUGCGAGCGUUAAUCGGAAUUACUGGGCGUAAAGCGUACGCAGGCGGUUUGUACUAGCGAGUGUGAAAGCCCCGGGCUCAACCUGGGAACUGCAUUUCGAACUGGCAAACUAGAGUGUGAUAGAGGGUGGUAGAAUUUCAGGUGUAGCGGUGAAAUGCGUAGAGAUCUGAAGGAAUACCGAUGGCGAAGGCAGCCACCUGGGUCAACACUGACGCUCAUGUACGAAAGCGUGGGGAGCAAAC